rnacentral:rRNA from 1 species
UACGAAGGGGGCGAGCGUUAUUCGGAAUCACUGGGCGUAAAGCGUGCGUAGGCGGUUUUGAAAGUUGGAAGUGAAAGCCCAGGGCUCAACCCUGGAAUUGCUCUCAAAACUACAAGACUCGGAUUCGGGAGAGGAUAGCGGAAUUGUCAGUGUAGCAGUGAAAUGCGUAGAUAUUGACAGGAACACCAGUGGCGCAAGCGGCUAUCUGGAUCGACAUCGACGCUGAGGCACGAAAGCGUGGGGAUCAAACAGG